GAAGAACCUAUGGGCACAAAAAGCAGGAACGAGUAGCGGUGGCUGAAGAACGAGCAGGAGCUUGAAUUUCAGUUUUCUUAUGAGGAAUUUUCCAGAAAAGAUAUCUUCACUGUGAAAUAACUAAAUAAAUGCCCACUCAGUACAACAAAAAUACCUGCUACAUGCUUCCUUCUGUAUGAAUACAUGAGACCUACCUUCAUUCAUGUUUCCUCUAUGAAGCUUUCCCUGCACUCCAAACACAGAGCUGAGACUUCCACCUAAUGUAGAAAGCUAGCACGAGCCGGCGCUGACAGAUGGAAGACUUGAGAUGUUACAAGAUUAUAUAUGGAAACACAAAAGGAGUGGAGUUGCUGGGUCAUAUGGCAAUUCAUUUGAGGAACUGAGAAGCUUAUUCCAUGGAGGCUGAACUGUUUUAUAUUCCCACCAGCAACGUGUAAGGUUCCAGUUUAUCUACAUCAUCACCAACACUUGCUAUUUUCCAUUUCAUUAAUGAUAGCCAUCCUAGUGGAUUUGAAGUGGUACCUUAUUAUCGUGGUUUUGAUUGCAUUCUCUAUUGACUAAUGAUAUCGAGCAUCUUUUCAUGUAUUUUUUGGUCAUUUGGUCAUUUUUCUUUUUUAAUUUUAAAAUUUUGAGACAGGCUCUCACUAUGUUGCCCAGGUGGUCUCAAACUCCUGGGUUCCAGCGAUGCUCAUGCCUCAGUCUCCCAAAGGGGUGGGAUUACAGGUGUGAGCCACUUUGCCCAGCCCAUUUGUAUAUCUCCUUUGGAGAAUAUCUAGGUUCUUUUGAAGGUAGCUGCAUAUAAACUAGCCAAAUUAACAGACUGUGGUUUUUAGAUGGCUUUCCAUAUCUACAAGAACUAUUUAGUUCUCAAAACUGGGAAGAAAUGUUUCAGAGGCAUCAUUAAUUCAUAAUCUAAAAAUUUAUCUUGGGUUUCCUUUUUUCCCCCAGAUUCUGUAUCCUCCAUAGUCCUAUUCAUGACAUGGGUCGUUCAUCUCUGUAUUCUAAACCCUCAAUGAACUGUAGACAGUAAUAAAUAUUUAUUGGAUGAA
rnacentral:lncRNA from 1 species